UACCUGGUUGAUCCUUCCAGUACUCAUAUGCUUGUCUCAAAUAUUAAUCUAUGCAUGUCUAACUAUGAACUAAUUCAAACUGUGAAACUGCGGAUGGCUCAUUAAAUCCAUUAUAGUUUAUUUAAUGGUACCCUACUACUCGAAUAACCGUAGUAAUUCCAGAGCUAAUAUGUGCACCAAGUCCCGACUCUUUGGAAGGGAUGCAUUUAUUAUAUAAAAAGUCGGCGUAGGCUUGCCCGCUUCUCCGGUGAAUCAUGAUAACUCAACGGAUUGCACAACCCUUGUGCUGGCGAAGCUUCAUUCAAAUUUAUUCCCUAACAACUUUCAAUGGUAGGAUAGAGGCCUACCAUGGUCAUGACAGUUGACAAAGAUUUAGGGUUUGAUUUCGGAGAGGGAUCCUAAUAAAUGGCUACCACAUACAAGGAAGGCAGCAGACAAGAAAAUUACCCAAUCCUGACAUGGGUAGGUAGUGACAAUAAAUAACAAUAUUGGGAUCAUCGAGUCUGGUAAUUGGAAUGAGUACAAUCUAAAUCCCUUAACAAGGAUCCAUUGGAGGGAAAUUUUGGUGCCAGCAUUCGUGGUAAUUCCAGCUCCAAUAUCGUAUAUUUAAGUUGUUGCAGUUAAAAAUCUCGUAGUUGGAUCUUGGGUCGCAAAGGUCAGUUCGCCUACUCGGUGUGCACCUUCCCUUCCGUCCCUUUUUCCAAUGGCAUGCUUCUGGCCUUAAUUGGUUGGGUCACCGUUUCGACGUUGUUACUUUGAAAAAAUUAGAGUGCUCAAAGCAAGCUUAUGCUCUGAAUACAUUAGCAUGGAAUAACGCAAUAGGAUACCGGUCCUAUUGUGUUGGCCUUCGAGACCAGAGUAAUUAUUAAUAGGGACUAUCGAGGGCAUUUGUAUUUCAUUUUCAGAGGUGAAAUUAUUGGAUUUAUGAAAGAUAGACAACUACGAAAGCAUUUUCCAAGGAUGUUUUCAUUAAUCAAGAAUGAAAUUUGGGGGCUCGAAUAUGAUCAAAUACUGUCCUAGUCUCAACCAUAAAUGAUGUUGACCAGGGAUCAAUAGAUGUUGCUCUAAGGACUCCACCAGCACCUUCUGAGAAAUCAGAGUGUUUGGGUUCUAGGGGGAGUAUGGUUGCAAGGAUUAAACUUAAAGGUUAUAUUAAAAAAUCUCUUGGUCGCCCAACCUCGACCAUGC
rnacentral:rRNA from 1 species